GAACGUACGCUGGCGGCACGCCUAACACAUGCAUGUCGAACGAAGUAGCAAUACUUAGUGGCAGACGGGUGAGUAACAUGUAGGUAUCUGCCCUUUGGCCUGGAAUAACACGAGGAAACUUGUGCUAAUACCGGAUAAGUCUUUACGGAGAAAGCUUUAUGCACCAUUGGAUGAGCCUGCACUUGAUUAGUUUGUUGGUAGGGUAAUGGCCUACCAAGACUGUGAUCAAUAGCUGAUUUGAGAGGAUGAUCAGCCACAUUGGGACUGAGACACGGCCCAAACUCCUACGGGAGGCAGCAGUGGGGAAUCUUGCACAAUGGAGGAAACUCUGAUGCAGCGAUGCCGCGUGAGUGAAGAAGGCCUUUGGGUUGUAAAGCUCUUUCGUCGGGGAAGAAAAUGACUGUACCCGAAUAAGAAGGUCCGGCUAACUUCGUGCCAGCAGCCGCGGUAAUACGAAGGGACCUAGCGUAGUUCGGAAUUACUGGGCUUAAAGAGUUCGUAGGUGGUUGAAAAAGUUAGUGGUGAAAUCCCAGAGCUUAACUCUGGAACUGCCAUUAAAACUUUUCAGCUAGAGUAUGAUAGAGGAAAGCAGAAUUUCUAGUGUAGAGGUGAAAUUCGUAGAUAUUAGAAAGAAUACCGAUUGCGAAGGCAGCUUUCUGGAUCAUUACUGACACUGAGGAACGAAAGCAUGGGUAGCGAAGAGGAUUAGAUACCCUCGUAGUCCAUGCCGUAAACGAUGUGUGUUAGACGUUGGAAAUUUAUUUUCAGUGUCGCAGGGAAACCGAUAAACACACCGCCUGGGGAGUACGACCGCAAGGUUAAAACUCAAAUGAAUUGACGGGGACCCGCACAAGUAGUGGAGCAUGUGGUUUAAUUCGAAGAUACGCGCAGAACCUUACCAACACUUGACAUGUUCGUCGCGACUCUAAGAGAUUAGAGUUUUCGGUUCGGCCGGACGAAACACAGGUGCUGCAUGGCUGUCGUCAGCUCGUGUCGUGAGAUGUUGGGUUAAGUCCCGCAACGAGCGCAACCCUCACUUUUAGUUGCCAUCAUUAAGUUGGGCACUCUGAAAGAACUGCCAGUGAUAAGCUGGAGGAAGGUGGGGAUGACGUCAAGUCCUCAUGGCCCUUACGUGUUGGGCUACACACGUGCUACAAUGGUAUCUACAACAGGAAGCAAGACUGCGAAGUUAAGCAAAUCCCUAAAAGAUACCUCAGUUCGGAUUGCACUCUGCAACUCGAGUGCAUGAAGCUGGAAUUACUAGUAAUCGUGGAUCAGCGUGCCACGGUGAAUGCGUUCCCGGGUCUUGUACUCACCGCC
rnacentral:rRNA from 1 species